GCGCUCGCUGCGGCAGCACAUACACUAAAACUGAACGAUUCAGAGAAGACUAGCAUGGUCGCUGAGCAAGGCUGACACGCCAAUCCGUGAAGCGCUCCGUAUGUUU
ensembl:snRNA U6 U6 spliceosomal RNA